AUGUAUAACUGUGGAGUGUACAUAUGCUUGGGAGCAAAUUGUGGCUGUUUGCAAAAUAUGCAGAGAGGAUGACAAUGAAGACUGGCUGGGUUGUGAUCAAUGUGGUCAAUUUUUUCAUGCAAGUUGCCUUAAUGUUGACUUUGCCAUAACCUUGUCAACUCAUUUUAGAUGCAAAUAAAAUUAUCAAUAUUAUUUGACAUGCAACAAAAUCAUUGUUAUGGUAUCAAUUCAAAUUGUGCAAUUAAAAUGAGUGCUUCAAAAUAUAGUAAUGUAUGAAUGAUAAAUACUUUAAUUUAAGGUAAAAUGUGCUUGCCACUAAUUGAAUCUCACACAUGCAAUGAAUAGUUUGAAACUGUUGAUGAAAUGUUACAAUAAACUACAAGUUUUACAAAUAUAUCUGAAAUAAAAUGGCUUAUUCCUAUUUCUUA